UGUGCAGCCACAUAAAGAAAAAGAAAAAAAAAGAAACAGUACCAAUGAGAUAUAUCCAGAAAUCUAAGACUAUUAUAAUACUAGAAAAUCUGGUUGUAUAAUUUGUGUGCUUAUUAAGUACAGAAGAAAAAUAAAAUCCUACAGUAAUCAUCAUAGUAAAUGGUGAAAUGUUAAAAAAAAAAAAAAAAAUUCCUUUGUUCUCACUGUGGCUCAUCAGAUUAAGGAUACAACAUUGUCUUUGUGAAGAUGUAGGGUCAAUCCCUGACCUUUUCAGGGGUUAAGGAUCUGGUAUUGCCAUGGCUAUGGCACAGGCCACAGUUACAGCUCCAAUUUGACCCCUAACUCAGGAAAUUCCAUAUGCUGCAAUUUUGGUGGUAAAAGAAAAAAAUAAUAAAAUCAGAAAUAAGACCAUAAUACUCACUGCCAACACUUCUAUUAAACUUCUAGCAGUGGAAUUUCUUUAAAAAUUAGUAAAAUAAAAGGUAUGAGGUUUGAAAGGCAAAAAAUAGUAUUUUCCUUAUUUAUAGGGGUCAUUUCUCUAUAAAAAUGACUCUAAAAACAAAGUUUUUGAAUUAGUAACAGUUUGGCAAAGUUACUGGAUUAAAGAUCAAUAUAUAAAAAUCAAUUACAUUUUAGUAGAAUUUGAAAUUGUGAUUUUAAAAUAUCACUGUAAAUAUAACAAUACAAAUAUGGUAAGAAUCAAUAAAUGAUAUUUGAACAAUUGAUUUUCAAGUUAGAAAAAAUAAAGUUUAAUUCACAUAUCACACCAUACACAGAAAUAAACUCCAGGUAGAUUAAAGACUUUAUUACAAAAGGAAAACUUUAAAACUCUCAUAAGAAAAUUUAAUAAUAUAUUCGUGAUCUUUGUAUAAAAACGUAUUAUUCAUGCAAGAUAGAAAAAGCACUACCCAAUAUUUCCUUUAGGAAAUAUUGAAAGACUUGUCUAUAUUAAAAUUCAAAACUUUUGUUUAUUAAAGACGCCAUUUCAGAAGUGAAAAGACAGGCCACAGGAGAAUAUAUUUGAAACACAUGUAACCAAUAAUGGACUAAUAUUGAAAAUAUAUAAAUAUUUUUAAGUGCUUCCUAAAAAUCAAUACAAAAAUUAUAAAUAAUCCAAUAGAAAAAGGUUCCAAGGAUAUAUAUAGAUAUUUUACAGAAGAGGAUGAAUGAAUGGCCCACAGACACAUGCAAUAUAUAAACAGAGAAAUACAAAUACAAACCUCACUGAGAUACCCAUCUGAUUGGCAAUUUUGUUAAAAUAAGUCUGACAAAACCAAAUGUUCCAAUGAGUGGAACAAUGAGAAUUCAAGUAUUCCUCACUGAAAUAUAAAUUAAUAUAAUAAUUUUAGAAAACAUAUUAAUACAUUUGAAGAUGUGUAACUCUAUGACUCCCAAAUUUUACUCUUGGAUAUAUGCCAAAAAAAAAAUUUCAUCAGCAUUGUAUAAAAUAUCAAAAACAAAGAAAACACAAACAAAAAACAGCUAUAAUAAAUAGAUAAGUUUUGGAAAUAGCUAUAAUAAAUAGAUAAGUUUUGGAAAUAGCUAUAAUAAAUAGAUAAGUUUUGGUAUAUUUAUACAAUGGAACAUUAUAUAUCAUUGAUGAGUGAAAAACACUAUGUACAUUAACAUGGAUAAAAUCCGCUAAUAAAAAUCUGAAACUCAAAAAAAAUGGAAGUCACAAAAGAAUACAUAUUUAAUGAUAUUCUUUAUAUAAAGUUCAAAAGCAUGGAAAACAAAGCAAUAUAUAUUCAGGGGUUUUUUGUUCAAAAUGCUCACUAUCCUUUCAAUCUUUUUUGUGGAUUAUACUUCCUACAAUGCCACUGUCAGUUUCAGACAUAUGACCUAACUUUAGCCAAAUGAAUGUGAGCAGAAGUGAUGUUGGUCACUUUUGAGGAGAAACUUGAAGAAUCAUCAUGUGGUUCUGCCGCCACCCUUCUCCAUCUGCCAGAGUGUGGUGUGUCCCAUAUAGAGGCUACUCUCCUCAUUCUGGAAAAGGACAAGGGAAUAAAGCUUCAGCCAACACACAGCCAGUGUAGAACUAUGUAACAUGAACAGAAAAUAAUUUUUUGUCAGCUAUAGAGAUUUAGAAAUUGUUACCUCAAAGCAGAUACUGCCAUAACAAAACCCCUAAAAUAUGUCCCACUGACUUUGUGGCAGAGUGGUGGGUAGCAAGGAACCUAUUAUUAGAGACUGGAAGGAUGACAACCCACUAUGCAGUGGUGAAUCAUAUAAUGAAACUAUAGCUACAAUAACAUAAAGAGAAGAUACUGUACCGAGUGAUUUUGUGAUCUUAGGCAAAGAGAUUUAGGAAACAGAACAUUACUAGCAUGUGCCAGUUGCUACUGGCUGCAUUUGACAUGGCAGUACAGAAAAAGAAAGGGACCUCUCACAAAGGGUUUGGCCAGUUUGUAAAGAAAGAAAUGAAAGAAAGCCAGAAAGCUGAGGAUUUAGAGGGUUGGAAGAUGCAAUUUAUUCUCAUAUCCCAAAAUAAAACUAGGAAUGCCCCUGAGUGACAAAAUCUGAUUAAAACUCAGCUUUGCAGAGUCAUAGAGUGAAUCAAAGGUGUUAGAAGUGCCUUAGGUUGAAUUAAUUGUGAUGAUAGCUGGUAAAUCUUUUCAGGUACAAAAAUGACUUAAAAGAGCCUAUGAGUCUAGAUCCCUCACAGAAUUCUGAUAAGCUAAAAUGAAACAAAACAAAACAAAACCUUCUGUGUAAGUUUGGAGAAAGAGACUCAUGUCUUGAAAAGUAUUGUUAGUGUGGCUCUUGGCACAAAAAGCUGAUGAAGUUAUUGAGAGAAUUUCACUGCCAAAUUAGCCAUCAGCCUAGAUUAAAAGAGUCUAUGUCUGUUGUCUAAGAGUAAGAAGCAAGAAAAUCUUAGCUCCCAAGGGAGCAUAUUCUCCAAUGCCCUUUGCAGAUAUGGUCCAAUGAGAGUAAAGAAAAAGAACUGCCUAGAGGGUGAAGUCAAAGGCUCUCUGUAACCAUGGACUGGGGAGCUAGAUACAGAGAGUAGACUGAACCUCAUCAGGAGGCAUUUCUUCCACCCAUGGUGGAGGGCCCUCACAACAUUUGCCCAGUGGGAUUUCAGAAUUGCUAUGUUCAGCAGACAGUUUUAGUUUUAGUUCAUGGGGCUACAAAUGAAGAGGAACUAUAUCUGGACCUGAUGUUAAAGUGAUCACAGAAUCUUGAACCUAGAAUCUGAUGCUAUGAGGGGCUACAUCAUUUAAGCUGUUUUCCUCAGGGAUGGGGAGAGUAUAUUAUUACAUGAAAGAGUGAGAAAUGAAUAUUUGUGAUGAAGAGAAAAAACUGGCCAAUUUUAUUGUUGUUUCCCACUAGUCACUACCAUUUACUACAGGGGAUUAUACAUUCCUGUCUUUGGCCAUGUUUCUUGUAGCAUCCUUCCCUGCGAUAUAUCCUCCUUCUUAUAACAGGUUCAGUCAGUGAAAUGAGAUGGAACUGAUUUGUUCCAUUUCCAGCAGAAGUUUUAAGAGCCAUCACAUGCUUUUGCUACUGCUCUUUUCCUUUUGCAGUGAGGCUAAGGUGGGCCUGAGUCCUGGAAUGAAGAUAACACAGAACAAAGUCAAAGCUGACUCACAGACACAUAGUCUACCUGUACCAAAUGUGUACU
rnacentral:lncRNA from 9 species